ACGCGCGGAACCUUACCAGGUCUUGACAUCCUCUGACACUCCUAGAGAUAGGACGUUCCCCUUCGGGGGACAGAGUGACAGGUGGUGCAUGGUUGUCGUCAGCUCGUGUCGUGAGAUGUUGGGUUAAGUCCCGCAACGAGCGCAACCCUUGUUCUUAGUUGCCAUCAUUUAGUUGGGCACUCUAAGGAGACUGCCGGUGACAAACCGGAGGAAGGUGGGGAUGACGUCAAAUCAUCAUGCCCCUUAUGACCUGGGCUACACACGUGCUACAAUGGACGGUACAAACGGUUGCCAACCCGCGAGGGGGAGCUAAUCCGAUAAAACCGUUCUCAGUUCGGAUUGUAGGCUGCAACUCGCCUACAUGAAGCCGGAAUCGCUAGUAAUCGCGGAUCAGCAUGCCGCGGUGAAUACGUUCCCGGGCCUUGCACACACCGCCCGU
rnacentral:rRNA from 1 species